rnacentral:rRNA from 1 species
GAUGAACGCUAGCUACAGGCUUAACACAUGCAAGUCGAGGGGUAACAAGAGGAAAGCUUGCUUUCCUUGUUGACGACCGGCGCACGGGUGAGUAACGCGUAUCCAACCUGCCUAUAACUAGGGAAUAACCUUGCGAAAGUAAGACUAAUACCCUAUGAUUUCCUUUGAUGACAUCAGAUUAGGAAUAAAGAUUUAUCGGUUAUAGAUGGGGAUGCGUCUGAUUAGCUUGUUGGCGGGGUAACGGCCCACCAAGGCAACGAUCAGUAGGGGUUCUGAGAGGAAGGUCCCCCACAUUGGAACUGAGACACGGUCCAAACUCCUACGGGAGGCAGCAGUGAGGAAUAUUGGUCAAUGGGCGGAAGCCUGAACCAGCCAAGUAGCGUGCAGGAUGACGGCCCUAUGGGUUGUAAACUGCUUUUAUACAGGAAUAAAGUUAGCCACGUGUGGUUAUUUGUAGGUACUGUAUGAAUAAGGACCGGCUAAUUCCGUGCCAGCCGCCGCCGUAAGAC